rnacentral:rRNA from 1 species
GACAGAGGGUGCAAGCGUUGUUCGGAAUUAUUGGGCGUAAAGGGCGCGUAGGCGGCCACGUAAGUCGAAUGUGAAAGCCCAGGGCUCAACCCUGGAAGUGCAUUCGAAACUGUGUGGCUUGAGUCUCGGAGAGGGUGGUGGAAUCCCCAGUGUAGAGGUGAAAUUCGUAGAUACUGGGAGGAACACCGGUGGCGAAGGCGACCACCUGGACGAAGACUGACGCUGAGGCGCGAGAGCGUGGGGAGCAAACAGG